CCUCGUGAAUUCAUCUCCGGGGGUAGAGCACUGUUUCGGCUAGGGGGCCAUCCCGGCUUACCAACCCGAUGCAAACUGCGAAUACCGGAGAAUGUUAUCACGGGAGACACACGGCGGGUGCUAACGUCCGUCGUGAAGAGGGAAACAACCCAGACCGCCAGCUAAGGUCCCAAAGUCAUGGUUAAGUGGGAAACGAUGUGGGAAGGCCCAGACAGCCAGGAUGUUGGCUUAGAAGCAGCCAUCAUUUAAAGAAAGCGUAAUAGCUCACUGGUCGAGUCGGCCUGCGCGGAAGAUGUAACGGGGCUAAACCAU
rnacentral:rRNA from 1 species